UAAGGCGAGGCUGAAAAGCGUAGUCGAUGGGAAACGGGUUAAUAUUCCGUACUGGUGGUAACUGCGAUGGGGGAACGGAGAAGGCUAGGUUGUCCGGGCGACGGUCGUCCCGGUUCAAGCAGGUAGGCAGAGUGAUUAGGCAAAUCCGGUCACUUAAUGCUGAGAUGUGAUGACGAACCACCAAGGUGGUGAAGCAAUUGAUGCCCCGCUUCCAGGAAAAGCCUCUAAGCUUCAGGUUACCAACAAUCGUACCCCAAACCGACACAGGUGGUCAGGUAGAGAAUACUCAGGCGCUUGAGAGAACUCGGGUGAAGGAACUAGGCAAAAUGGUGCCGUAACUUCGGGAGAAGGCACGCUGGCGGUAGGUAAAGUCCCUCGCGGACAGAGCUGAAGCCAGUCGAAGAUACCAGCUGGCUGCAACUGUUUAUUAAAAACACAGCACUGUGCAAACACGAAAGUGGACGUAUACGGUGUGACGCCUGCCCGGUGCUGGAAGGUUAAUUGAUGGGGUUAGCGUAAGCGAAGCUCCUGAUCGAAGCCCCAGUAAACGGCGGCCGUAACUAUAACGGUCCUAAGGUAGCGAAAUUCCUUGUCGGGUAAGUUCCGACCUGCACGAAUGGCGUAAUGAUGGCCAGGCUGUCUCCACCCGAGACUCAGUGAAAUUGAACUCGCUGUGAAGAUGCAGUGUACCCGCGGCAAGACGGAAAGACCCCGUGAACCUUUACUAUAGCUUGACACUGAACAUUGAGCCUUGAUGUGUAGGAUAGGUGGGAGGCUUUGAAGUGUGGACGCCAGUCUGCAUGGAGCCAACCUUGAAAUACCACCCUUUAACGUUUGAUGUUCUAACCUAGGCCCAUAAACUGGGUCGGGGACCGUGUCUGGUGGGUAGUUUGACUGGGGCGGUCUCCUCCUAAAGAGUAACGGAGGAGCACGAAGGUUGGCUAAGCAUGGUCGGACAUCAUGCGGUUAGUGCAAAGGCAUAAGCCAGCUUGACUGCGAGAGUGACGGCUCGAGCAGGUACGAAAGUAGGUCUUAGUGAUCCGGUGGUUCUGAAUGGAAGGGCCAUCGCUCAACGGAUAAAAGGUACUCCGGGGAUAACAGGCUGAUACCGCCCAAGAGUUCAUAUCGACGGCGGUGUUUGGCACCUCGAUGUCGGCUCAUCACAUCCUGGGGCUGAAGUAGGUCCCAAGGGUAUGGCUGUUCGCCAUUUAAAGUGGUACGCGAGCUGGGUUUAGAACGUCGUGAGACAGUUCGGUCCCUAUCUGCCGUGGGCGUUGGAAGAUUGAGAGGGGUUGCUCCUAGUACGAGAGGACCGGAGUGAACGCACCACUGGUGUUCGGGUUGUCAUGCCAAUGGCAUUGCCCGGUAGCUAAGUGCGGAAGAGAUAACCGCUGAAAGCAUCUAAGCGGGAAACUUGCCUCGAGAUGAGUCUUCCCUGUCGCUUUAAGCGACCUAAAGGAACGUUUAAGACUAAGACGUUGAUAGGCUGGGUGUGUAAGCGUAGCGAUACGUUGAGCUAACCAGUACUAAUGAACCGUGAGGCUUAACCUG
rnacentral:rRNA from 1 species